UUUCCUAGGAGACUUCAGUCCCUCCGUGCGCCCGGAAUUUCCGCGCUAGUCGCGGCGGGCAGAAUGUCGGCGUCUGGGCCGUGAAUUUUCCCUCGCCUAGUAACCCGCCAGGGGCAGUACACCAGUAAAAAGGAGUGAAGUACUAGAAGAGGAUUCUGUGAAGACGGUGAAGUCGGUAGCACCUAUCUCCUCACCUAGAAGUGGUCAUAGUAGCAGAAUCUCUCUCCUGUGACUAUUCUGGAACUCUGAAGUCUACUAAGAGCUUGCAACCUCUAAGGGAAUGAAGUACUGAUAGUACAAUAUGGAUGAACCUCAAUAACAAAUAUGAUGUUAUAUGAAAGGAGUGAGUCAGAAAGGACCACAUAUUGUAUAAUUCCCUUUAUAUAAAAUAUCUUGAAUAGGCAAAUCUAUAGAGACAGAAAAUAGAUAAGUGAUUGCUUUGGGCUGAAGCAGGGGAGUUGUUGGAGGGAAAUGGGUUGAUGAUUACUAGAAGGUGAAUUGAAUGGCAUAUGAAUUAUGUGUCAACCAAAAAGAUCUUACAAAAAAUUAAUGAAGAGUAGACCAAUGAUAACAGGAGAAUUGAAAAUAUAAAAAAAUUAGUUUUCCAAAACUGAUUAACAUACAGUUUCUAUUUCAACUUGUGAAGUAUUUUUUAAUUUCUAAGUCUAGUUUCCCGAUCUUCAAAAUAGAGUAUUUUUCUUUAGUAUUGUGUUUAGCUCAAGAGCUCAUGCAUGAUGUAUACAAAAUUCUCACCAAAUGGUGACUAUUUUCACCAAAUAGCUUUCCAAAAGAUUAUUAAAAAAUUUAUCACUGUCCUUGGAAAAGUGGAUCAUUCAUUCUACUAAGCUACAUGUUUCCUAAAAAUAGAGACUUGUUUUAGGCAUUUCUGUACACUUAGCAGUACAGGCAUCUAAGUGUCUAAAGCAUAUUUAUUUAGUUCACAUGGCUACUAAAUUAAUAGAGUUAAUGAAUUUUAAAAUUAAUAAACUAUUUUUAUGUGAAAAAGUGAA